GACGAACGCGGGCGGCGUGCCUAAUACAUGCAAGUAGAACGCUGAAGGAGGAGCUUGCUUCUCUGGAUGAGUUGCGAACGGGUGAGUAACGCGUAGGUAACCUGCCUGGUAGCGGGGGAUAACUAUUGGAAACGAUAGCUAAUACCGCAUAAGAGUAGAUGUCGCAUGACAUUUGCUUAAAAGGUGCAAUUGCAUCACUACCAGAUGGACCUGCGUUGUAUUAGCUAGUUGGUGAGGUAACGGCUCACCAAGGCAACGAUACAUAGCCGACCUGAGAGGGUGAUCGGCCACACUGGGACUGAGACACGGCCCAGACUCCUACGGGAGGCAGCAGUAGGGAAUCUUCGGCAAUGGACGGAAGUCUGACCGAGCAACGCCGCGUGAGUGAAGAAGGUUUUCGGAUCGUAAAGCUCUGUUGUAAGAGAAGAACGAGUGUGAGAGUGGAAAGUCACACUGUGACGUAUCUACCAGAAAGGACGCA
rnacentral:rRNA from 1 species